rnacentral:piRNA from 1 species
UGACUUGAGUUGACAAGAUAAUGGGGGUC